AUAACUUCUCUACCCUUUAGCUAAGGUCAAUGUAUAAUAGUAUCUGUACCUUCCAACUUAAUAUCUGAUAGGGUCCCUUAUGGUCCCUAUAUAUCGAUAUUAAACAGACUUUUUAAAACUAGGUAAGGAAUUACGGAUUGCACUGUCUUUAGCAUGAUUAGGCGUUGUACUCUCAAGAUCCAAUCAAUUUUC